AUUGAACGCUGGCGGCAGGCCUAACACAUGCAAGUCGAACGAGUGGCGGACGGGUGAGUAAUGUCUGGGAAACUGCCUGAUGGAGGGGGAUAACUACUGGAAACGGUAGCUAAUACCGCAUACCAUCAGAUGUGCCCAGCUGGGAUUAGCUAGUUGGUGGGGUAACGGCUAACCAAGGCGACGCUCCAUAGCUGGUCAGAGAGGAUGACCAGCAACACUGGAACUGAGACACGGUCCAGACGCCUAAGGGAGGCAGCAGUGGGGAAGAUGGCACAAUGGGCGCAAGCCUGAUGCAGCCAUGCCGCGUGUAUGAAGAAGGCCGUCGGGUUGUAAAGGACUUUCAGCGGGGAGGCGGUACCCGCAGAAGAAGCACCGGCUAACUCCGUGCCAGCAGCCGCGGUAAUUC
rnacentral:rRNA from 1 species